rnacentral:rRNA from 1 species
AAUCAACGCUGGCGGCGUGCCUCAGACAUGCAAGUCGAACGAUUAAACUUUCCUUCGGGGAAGAUAUAGAGUGGCGCACGGGUGAGUAACACGUAAGUAAUCUACCCUUGGGUGGGGAAUAACAUCGGGAAACCGAUGCUAAUACCGCAUAAUGCAGCGGCUUCUUAUGAAGACAGUUGUUAAAGCAUUUAUGUGCCUGAGGAGGAGCUUGCGGCAGAUUAGCAGUUGGUAAGGUAAUGGCUUACCAAGGCGACGAUCUGUAGCCGACCU